UCCGAGUUCAGUGCCCAGGACCUACAUGGCAGAAGACACUGUGGUCUUGUGAAAAAUGCAAUGCGCAGGACAAAGGACUUCUGAAAGAACCUUGAACUUCGCCAGCAAAAUGCACUCCGUGGUGCUUCUUGAGCCAUCUCUCUUUGCCAGAGACGUUGCUUUUCACAUCCAAGUCUCCAGCCCUGGUAGUGUUGUGGGCUCCACAGGUGGCAAGCAGCAGGCAUAAACACCUUAAAGGGAGGUCAGGGUUUGGGCAGGUGGGAGACCUAGUUAAUUUACACUGUACACACAAACCAUGAGUUAUUCCUCAGGUAAAAAUGUCAAGUAGUGCAAGCAAAGAUGCAGUGGAUUUUUACCCUCCCCAGUGUAUUUUUCAUGUGUUCUUGUCAUUGCCCC
rnacentral:lncRNA from 1 species